UUUCCGUAGGUGAACCUGCGGAAGGAUCAUUACUGAGUGGUCGUGUGGUUCGAUCCUGCCAGCCAGUUUUUGGAUGCAUGUGCUUGCCCUAACAAUCCUCUUCUUCCAAACACCUGUGCAUUUUUUUGAGGGGGCCUUGAGUGGGUUGCCGCUCUUGGGUGAUUUUCUCACAUUCCCUUAACCCCUUAUACGCUAUUAACAAUAUUAAAAGUUCUAUGUGCUGCAAGGCCAUUAAUAUAAUACAACUUUUAACAACGGAUCUCUUGGCUCUC
rnacentral:misc_RNA from 1 species